rnacentral:rRNA from 1 species
AUUGAACGCUGGCGGCAUGCUUUACACAUGCAAGUCGAACGGCAGCGCGGGCUUCGGCCUGGCGGCGAGUGGCGAACGGGUGAGUAAUGCAUCGGAACGUGCCCAGUAGUUGGGGAUAGCCCGGCGAAAGCCGGAUUAAUACCGCAUACGACCUGAUGUUGAAAGCGGGGGACCGAAAGGCCUCGCGCUAUUGGAGCGGCCGAUGUCGGAUUAGCUAGUUGGUGGGGUAAAGGCUUACCAAGGCGACGAUCCGUAGCUGGUCUGAGAGGACGACCAGCCACACUGGGACUGAGACACGGCCCAGACUCCUACGGGAGGCAGCAGUGGGGAAUUUUGGACAAUGGGGGAAACCCUGAUCCAGCCAUGCCGCGUGCGGGAAGAAGGCCUUCGGGUUGUAAACCGCUUUUGUUCGGGAAGAAAUCCUCUGGGCUAAUACCCCGGGGGGAUGACGGUACCGGAAGAAUAAGCACCGGCUAACUACGUG